UACAGAGGUCUCAAGCGUUGUUCGGAUUCAUUGGGCGUAAAGGGUGCUAGGUAGCGUCGUAAGUCAGGUGUGAAAUCUCGGGGCUCAACCCCGAAACUGCACUUGAUACUGCGAUGCUCGAGUACUGGAGAGGAGAUUGGAAAUUUACGGUGUAGCAGUGAAAAUGCGUAGAUAUCGUAAGGAAGACCAGUGGCGAAGGCGAAUCUCUGGACAGUUACUGACACUG
rnacentral:rRNA from 1 species